rnacentral:rRNA from 1 species
AUGCUGCAGCUACUACCGGCCUACCGCCGCCGACCCUUCGCCUCAUCCUCACAGCCGACCGACGCCCUCGUCCCAGCGGCCAGUUCUCAGUCAGUGGAACCGAAGAUGAAGAGGAAUGGUGACAUUAAGUCCUUUUUCUGGAAUUAUGAGGCUUCUAAAAGAAAGAAGGCUGCAGCCGAAGAGCAACCUGAAUAUGAAGAUAUAGUGUCAAAUAUUGAAGAUGAAGCAGUCCUUCCUCCACCUCUAGUCCAUUCUGCAGAGAUUGUAGUUGAUAUUGAAGAUGAAGCAUUCCAUUCCAAUGCAAAGAUUGAAAGUGAUAGUGAAGAUGAAGCGGCAUCACCCCAACAUCCAUGUGCAAGGCCAUAA